rnacentral:antisense_RNA from 1 species
AUAGAGCAACAGCUUCUAUGCAGUUUUAGGUCAGCCCCGGUAAUCUUCUUCCGUCGCCAAACAGUACGAAGAUUAUCGGGGUUUUGUCUU